rnacentral:rRNA from 1 species
GACGAACGCUGGCGGCGUGCUUAACACAUGCAAGUCGAACGGAAAGCCCUGCUUUUGUGGGGUGCUCGAGUGGCGAACGGGUGAGUAACACGUGAGUAACCUGCCCUUGACUUUGGGAUAACUUCAGGGAACUGGGGCUAAUACCGGAUAGGAGCUCCUGCUGCAUGGUGGGGGUUGGAAAGUUUCGGCGGUUGGGGAUGGACUCGCGGCUUAUCAGCUUGUUGGUGGGGUAGUGGCUUACCAAGGCUUUGACGGGUAGCCGGCCUGAGAGGGUGACCGGCCACAUUGGGACUGAGAUACGGCCCAGACUCCUACGGGAGGCAGCAGUGGGGAAUAUUGCACAAUGGGCGGAAGCCUGAUGCAGCAACGCCGCGUGCGGGAUGACGGCCUUCGGGUUGUAAACCGCUUUCGCCUGUGACGAAGCGUGAGUGACGGUAAUGGGUAAAGAAGCACCGGCUAACUACGUG